GACGAACGCUGGCGGCGUGCUUAACACAUGCAAGUCGAACGAUGAAGCCGGAGCUUGCUCUGGUGAAUUAGUGGCGAACGGGUGAGUAACACGUGAGUAACCUGCCCUUGACUCUGGGAUAACUGCGGGAAACUGUAGCUAAUACCGGAUACGACCCUCGGAGGCAUUUCCUGGGGGUGGAAAGAAUUUCGGUCAAGGAUGGACUCGCGGCCUAUCAGCUAGUAGGUGAGGUAACGGCUCACCAAGGCGACGACGGGUAGCCGGCCUGAGAGGGUGACCGGCCACACUGGGACUGAGACACGGCCCAGACUCCUACGGGAGGCAGCAGUGGGGAAUAUUGCACAAUGGGCGCAAGCCUGAUGCAGCAACGCCGCGUGAGGGAUGACGGCCUUCGGGUUGUAAACCUCUUUUAGUAGGGAAGAAGCGAAAGUGACGGUACCUGCAGAAAAAGCACCGGCUAACUACGUGCCAGCCGCCGCAGUAA
rnacentral:rRNA from 1 species